rnacentral:rRNA from 1 species
CAGUAGCCGCGGUAAUACAGAGGGUGCAAGCGUUGUUCGGAAUUAUUGGGCGUAAAGCGCGUGUAGGCGGCGUGACAAGUCGGGUGUGAAAGUCCUCAGCUCAACUGAGGAAGUGCGCCCGAAACUGUCGUGCUUGAGUGCCGGAGAGGGUGGCGGAAUUCCCCAAGUAGAGGUGAAAUUCGUAGAUAUGGGGAGGAACACCGGUGGCGAAGGCGGCCAUCUGGGACAACACUGACGCUGAGGCACGAAAGCGUGGGGAGCAAACAGGAUUAGAUACCCCCGUAGUCCCUGUCUCUUAUAA